CACUUCUCCUUCUUUCUUCUUCUUCUUGGAAAACCCCCUGAUUUGUCGUUUCUUCCCUGCGAACGAAUAGACGCGACGGCGGCAUUUCAUCACCGCUGCAACCUGCAACUCGUCACAGCAGUGGCAUAUUGGAGCGCAGCCAGUCUCAAUGUCGGUCUCUCUCUCUCUCUUUUCUCGGUUUCACACAACUGCCGUCGAUCACCGCCAUUACCACCGCGACCGAACCCAUGAUGAUCUCGCAUGGCAACACAUCCCUGUUUUCACCGCUGAAGUCGAUUCCCUCAUCUGUUUGAGGAAUUAGAAGCAGCACAAGAAGCUACCCCAACUGUCCUCUCUAUUCGAAGCAGAUCUCCUUUCAGAUUUGAUAAAUUCGCGUUCGCUCUCCUCAUCACUCGUUCACAUGUCCAAUAAAUCGAAUUCGGCCAGGUUUCUCUUUGUAGCAAUCGAUUUCACUCUCAAGGCAAAAUCCCAAUCUAGCUGGGAAGAUAGAGACCGGGCUGAUUCAGCUCCAGUAACUCUCGGUAUCAGCCCAGAUUUGAUUGUUCGUUGUUUGUUAUAAAAGGUUUGGCUGUUUAUACAGAAAAUCUUCAUAUUGAUCAAGGAAAUGGAAGAUUGCAAAGUAAUGUAUAUCUGAAGCUCUGCUCCUCCAAAGGCGUACAACUUUAUAGAACAAUCUGAAGCUCUAAGGAAGAAUGCAAAAGAACGUACCUCUGAAGCUUUGUUCUUCCUCCAUCUACAUAUAAUAAGCCAAAAUUUUCUUCAGGUAACAGAGUUGGUGAACAGUGGUUCCCAUAGCUGCGGUCAUUUUUGUCAUUUCGAAGAUGAAUUCAUGCAUUGCUCAAAAUCGCAGGGUUUCUGUGAUACAUAUAAUAAGAAAACAGAACCUUCUUUCGAUCGCGGAAGUGAAAUGACAGUUGGAUCUGCAGCAGGAUCGGGUCUAUUCAAGUUCCUUCGACCUGGACUUCGCCCUCAAUCGACUGAUAUUCAAGCCGCGGCGAUGUGGGGCGUCGCAGUAACCACCGGAGCUCUUUGGCUCAUCCAGCCAUUUGAUUGGUUGAAGAAGACGUUCUUGGAGAAACCUGAGUCUGAAGGGCCAUGAUUCAUGAUGCCAGAUCCAGUUAAAUAAUGCAACUUUGUGGUGAGAAAACCAAAAACAGAGGCUAUUCAAAUAAUGCAACUUUUUUUUCGGUUUGUUUUCCUGCAUGGAGGAUUUUUGUUAGAUCAACUCUUGUAACUAGUGGAAGAAACAUGACUUUUUUUGUGCUUGCUGUUUUCUCUAUUUUUAUUUGAAUUCACUUGGUCAGCGUUCACUCGUUCGAUAUUAUUCUUCUUUUA